rnacentral:piRNA from 1 species
UGGAAUACAGGCAUGCCUCAGGGAAA